rnacentral:rRNA from 1 species
UAGGGAAUCUUCGGCAAUGGACGAAAGUCUGACCGAGCAACGCCGCGUGAGUGAAGAAGGUUUUCGGAUCGUAAAACUCUGUUGUUAGAGAAGAACAAGGACGUUAGUAACUGAACGUCCCCUGACGGUAUCUAACCAGAAAGCCACGGCUAACUACGUGCCAGCAGCCGCGGUAAUACGUAGGUGGCAAGCGUUGUCCGGAUUUAUUGGGCGUAAAGCGAGCGCAGGCGGUUUCUUAAGUCUGAUGUGAAAGCCCCCGGCUCAACCGGGGAGGGUCAUUGGAAACGGGGAGACUUGAGUGCAGAAGAGGAGAGUGGAAUUCCAUGUGUAGCGGUGAAAUGCGUAGAUAUAUGGGGGAACACCAGUGGCGAAGGCGGCUCUCUGGUCUGUAACUGACGCUGAGGCUCGAAAGCGUGGGGAGCAAACAGG